rnacentral:rRNA from 1 species
AUUGAACGCUGGCGGCAGGCCUAACACAUGCAAGUCGAACGAGUGGCGGAUGGGUGAGUAAUGUCUGGGAAACUGCCUGCUGGAGGGGGUUAACUACUGGAAACGGUAGCUAAUUACGCAUACCAUCAGAUGUGCCCAGAUGGGCUUAGCUUGUUGGUGGGGUAACGGCUCACUAAGGCGACGAUGCCUAGCUGGUCUGAGAGGAUGACCAGCCAACCUGGAACUGGGACAAGGUCCAGACUCCUACGUGAGUCAGCAGUGGAGAAUAUUGCACAAUGGGCGAAAGCCUGAUGCAGCCAUGCCGCGUGUAUGAAGAAGGCAUUCGGGUUGUAAGGUUCUUUCAGCGGGGAGGCGUUAGCCGCAGAAGAAGCACCGGCUAACUCCGUGCCAGCAGCCGCGGUAAUAC